rnacentral:rRNA from 1 species
AACGCUAGCUACAGGCUUAACACAUGCAAGUCGAGGGGAAACGAUAUUGGAAGCUUGCUUCCGAUAGGCGUCGACCGGCGCACGGGUGAGUAACGCGUAUCCAACCUGCCCAUCACUUGGGAAUAACCUUGCGAAAGUAAGACUAAUGCCCAAUGACAUUUAUAGAAGGCAUCGGAAAUGAAUUAAAGAUUUAUCGGUGAUGGAUGGGGAUGCGUCUGAUUAGCUUGUUGGCGGGGUAACGGCCCACCAAGGCGACGAUCAGUAGGGGUUCUGAGAGGAAGGUCCCCCACAUUGGAACUGAGACACGGUCCAAACUCCUACGGGAGGCAGCAGUGAGGAAUAUUGGUCAAUGGGCGAGAGCCUGAACCAGCCAAGUAGCGUGCAGGAAGACGGCCCUAUGGGUUGUAAACUGCUUUUAUAGGGGAAUAAAGUGAGCCACGCGUGGUUUUUUGCAUGUACCCUAUGAAUAAGGACCGGCUAAUUCCGUGCCAGCAGCCGCGGUAAUACGGAAGGUCCGGGCGUUAUCCGGAUUUAUUGGGUUUAAAGGGAGCGUAGGCCGGAGAUUAAGCGUGUUGUGAAAUGUAGAUGCUCAACAUCUGCACUGCAGCGCGAACUGGUUUCCUUGAGUACGCAUAAAGUGGGCGGAAUUCGUGGUGUAGCGGUGAAAUGCUUAGAUAUCACGAAGAACUCCGAUUG